AUUUGUCUGGUUAAUUCCGUUAACGAACGAGACCACAGCCUACUAAAUAGUGAUACGUGUGGCGACACACGUAGAUUGCUUCUUAGAGGGACAUUUCGGGUCUACCGGAAGGAAGUUUGUGGCAAUAACAGGUCUGUGAUGCCCUUAGAUGUUCUGGGCCGCACGCACGCUACACUGACGAAUUCAACGAGUUUUUAUUUUGUUUUGAAAUAAAUUCCUUUAUCGGAAGAUAUGGGUAAUCUUUAAAUGUGCGUCGUGAUGGGGCUAGAUUUUUGCAAUUAUUAAUCUCCAACGAGGAACC
rnacentral:rRNA from 1 species